rnacentral:rRNA from 1 species
UACGUAGGGGGCAAGCGUUGUCCGGAAUCAUUGGGCGUAAAGAGCGUGUAGGCGGUCGAUCAAGUCUGGUGUGAAAGCCCGGGGCUCAACCCCGGAAUGUCAUCGGAAACUGGUCGGCUUGAGUCCGGAAGAGGAGAGUGGAAUUCCUGGUGUAGCGGUGAAAUGCGCAGAUAUCAGGAGGAACACCUGUGGCGAAGGCGGCUCUCUGGUACGUGACUGACGCUGAGACGCGAAAGCGUGGGGAGCGAACAGGAUUAGAUACCCUGGUAGUCCACGCCGUAAACGAUGGAUGCUAGGUGUGGGUGGAAUCGACUCUGCCCGUGCCGAAGCUAACGCAUUAAGCAUCCCGCCUGGGGAGUACGGCCGCAAGGCUA